GAUGAACGCUGGCGGCGUGCUUAACACAUGCAAGUCGAACGAUGAAGCCCAGCUUGCUGGGUGGAUUAGUGGCGAACGGGUGAGUAACACGUGAGUAACCUGCCCUUAACUCUGGGAUAAGCCUGGGAAACUGAGUCUAAUACCGGAUAGGAGCGCCUACCGCAUGGUGGGUGUUGGAAAGAUUUAUCGGUUUUGGAUGGACUCGCGGCCUAUCAGCUUGUUGGUGAGGUAAUGGCUCACCAAGGCGACGACGGGUAGCCGGCCUGAGAGGGUGACCGGCCACACUGGGACUGAGACACGGCCCAGACUCCUACGGGAGGCAGCAGUGGGGAAUAUUGCACAAUGGGCGAAAGCCUGAUGCAGCGACGCCGCGUGAGGGAUGACGGCCUUCGGGUUGUAAACCUCUUUCAGUAGGGAAGAAGCGAAAGUGACGGUACCUGCAGAAGAAGCACCGGCUAACUACGUG
rnacentral:rRNA from 1 species